CUACNGGGGCACAUGAGGNAAUUGGAAAUGGAGGAAACUCUGAUCCAGCCAUGCCGCGUGCAGGAUGACUGCCCUAUGGGUUGUAAACUAGCUUUUAUAUAGGAAGAAACACUCCCACGUGUGGGGGCUUGACGGUACUAUAUGAAUAAGGAUCGGCUAACUCCGUGCCAGCAGCCGCGGUAAUAU
rnacentral:rRNA from 1 species